GAGUUUGAUCGUGGCUCAGGAUGAACGCUGGCGGCGUGCUUAACACAUGCAAGUCGAACGAAGCGAUUUGACGGAAGUUUUCGGAUGGAAGUCAAAUUGACUGAGUGGCGGACGGGUGAGUAACACGUAGGUAACCUGCCCCGGAGCGGGGGAUAACAUUUGGAAACAGAUGCUAAUACCGCAUAACAACAAAAGCCACAUGGCUUUUGUUUAAAAGAUGGCUUUGGCUAUCACUCUGGGAUGGACCUGCGGUGCAUUAGCUAGUUGGUAAGGUAACGGCUUACCAAGGCGAUGAUGCAUAGCCGAGUUGAGAGACUGAUCGGCCACAAUGGAACUGAGACACGGUCCAUAC
rnacentral:rRNA from 1 species